ensembl:lncRNA
AGCCAGCCGGGCCUCCCCCUGCGCCGCAGCGGGAGACGGCUGACGCUCGCAAACAUCGUCGCGAGGCGAUAAAAUGCCAGUCCUGGCCUCUCGGUUGAGCAGACUAAGAGCAAUGAUGCUAUCUCCUGGGAAAAUUAGAGUGGAAGAUACAUAUUAUCCAUGAUGAUCCUUCUGCCUCCAUCCUGCUGCCUGCCACCCACAGCCACUCAGUCCCAAGUCCUGUCGACCUGCUUUCCUAGGUAGAUCUAUGAUCCACCUCUUUCCAUCCCUCACUCAGCCACUGCCCCAGCCCAGCCCCUGUCAUCUCUCACCUGGAGCACAGCAUCAGUCUCCCAGCAGACCUCACUCUGCUUCCAUCUCUCUGCCCACAUGUGGUCCACUUCCACAAAACAACUAGAGUGUUCUUUCUGGAACGCAAAUUGAAAUGUCACUGGCCUGCUCUAGGGUGAGGUCCAGAUUCCCCAGGACCUGGGCUUGCCUAUCAGCCUAGAAUCUCUCUCACUAGUCUCCUCUCUGUAGUGGAUUAGAUGAAGGCCCCCAAAAAGACAAGCCCAGGACCAGUCCCAUGGCCUAGUGGUUAAGUUUGGCACACACUGCUUCUGUGGCCUGGGUUUGGUUCCUGGGCGUGGACCUAUGCCACUCCUCUGUUGGUGGCCAUGCUAUGGUGGCAUCCCACAUACAAAAUAGAGGAAGAUUGGCACGGAUGUUACCUCAGGGACAAUCUUCCUCAGCAAAAAAAAAAAAAAAAAGAUAUAUCCACAAUAUCCACAUCCUAACGCCUGGGCCCUGUGAAUGUCACCUUAUUUCGAAAAAAGGUCUUUGCAGAUGUAAUUAAGUUAAGAGUCUUGAGAUGAGGAGAUCAUCCUGGAUUACCUGGGUGGGUCCUAAAUCCAAUGACAAGUGUCCUUAUAAGAAGUAAAAGAGAAGACACAGACAUAGAGUAGAAGGCCAGUGAAGGUGGAGGCAGGGACCAGAAUAUACAGCCACAAGGAAUGCCUGGAGCCUCCAGAAGCUGGAAUUCCAGACGUGAGGAAGGAUUCUCCCAUAGUGCCUCUGGAGAGAGUGCCACCUGCUGACACCUUGAUCUCAGACUUGCCACCUCCAGAGCCGUGAGGAAAGGAAUUUCCGUUGUUGCAGCCACCCAGUCUGUGGUGAUUUGUCACGGCAGCCCCAGGAAGCUAACACCCUCCCCCACAGGGCUCCAGCCAUGCCACCUGGCCUGAGAAAGAACUACCAGACUCCUCAAAGCUGCCUGGAUCUCUUUCUGGACCUUUGCACAUGCUGAUCCUUCUGCCCAAAACAUUCUUCCAUCCCCUUAUUGUGCAACUCACUCCUAUGGUCCCAUCACUCCUGCUGAAAAGUCUUCUCUGCCUCCUCAGCCAGCGGCCUGGCAGAUGCAUGGCUCCUGCAGCCUGACAGACGUCUGCCCGGUGCUCCUGGCCCUUCUCGGGGAGUGGCGGCACCCUCCGUUUGAGCGAGGAGCCGUCUGUCCGCCCAAGCUCACAGCCUUGAGGUGCGAAGGGGAUCUGAAGCCAGGUCUGCCGCCUUCACAGCACAAGCGCUGCUCCUAUCCUGGCUGCCCAGCUGCCUCUCAGGACUCAGGCGACACCAGGCGGCACCCGCUGUCUGUCCCCAGAGCUCCCCAAAGCCAGAGCACAAUAGUUCUAGCGAAAACAGCAGCAACAAAGUCCACGGUGCCUAAAUACUCACGUCUGCAUUCUGCAG